rnacentral:rRNA from 1 species
GACAGAGGGUGCAAACGUUGUUCGGAAUUACUGGGCGUAAAGCGCGCGUAGGCAGCAGCGUGUGUCGGGCGUGAAAUCCCUAGGCUCAACCUAGGAACUGCACUCGAAACUUCUUUUCUUGAGUACCGGAGAGGAAAGCGGAAUACCUGGUGUAGAGGUGAAAUUCGUAGAUAUCAGGUGGAACACCAGUGGCGAAGGCGGCUUUCUGGACGGUAACUGACGCUGAGACGCGAAAGCGUGGGGAGCAAACAGG